rnacentral:rRNA from 1 species
UACGUAGGGUGCGAGCGUUGUCCGGAAUUAUUGGGCGUAAAGGGCUCGUAGGCGGUCUGUCGCGUCGGGAGUGAAAACUCAGGGCUUAACCCUGAGCCUGCUUCCGAUACGGGCAGACUAGAGGUAUGCAGGGGAGAACGGAAUUCCUGGUGUAGCGGUGGAAUGCGCAGAUAUCAGGAGGAACACCGAUUGCGAAGGCAGCUCGCUGGGACGUUACUGACGCUGAGACGCGAAAGCGUGGGGAGCAAACAGG